rnacentral:rRNA from 1 species
UAAGACGGAAGGCGCGAACGUUACUCGGAAUCACUGGGCAUAAAGAGCUCGUAGGCGGUUCGUCAAGUCCGGAGUGAAAUCCCUCGGCUCAACCGAGGAACUGCUUCGGAAACUGGCGGGCUAGAGGGCAGGAGGGGAGAGUGGAAUUCCUGGUGGAGCGGUGAAAUGCGUAGAUAUCAGGAGGAACGCCGGCGGCGAAAGCGACUCUCUGGUCUGUUCCUGACGCUGAGGAGCGAAAGCUAGGGCAGCAAACAGGAUUAGAUACCCUGGUAGUCCUAGCCGUAAACGAUGGGCACUACGUAGAGGGGGCUCCGAUGUCUUCUCUGCGGGAGCUAACGCAUUAAGUGCCCCGCCUGGGGAGUAUGACCGCAAGGUUA